rnacentral:lncRNA from 1 species
ACCUGCAGGGGCCCAUUCCUUCUGGCACUUUUGGAGCAGAUGUAACCAAGAAAUCAAUAUCGCUGUUAGAUUCGUCCAUGGCAACCGUAAUGCUACUGCAUCUCCUGCCCUGUAAUGUUGACAGAAACGGCAGAGCCAGGAAUCCUUUAUACUUGGCUUUUCCUAAACAACCCUCACCUCAACGUCACUGCUGGCCACACACUGAAGCUCCUGCUGAUCCUUCCAGUCCUGAGCCUCAAUGUUUCCUGCCUGAAGAAACCUUGCCAGGUCUUUGCUUAGAGAUCACGCUACUGUCUUCUUUUUCCCUAGGGUCCCGAUGGCUUUCGUCAUAGCACCCAUUCAGAUUUUUAAUUCCAUCUCAACUUUCCCAUUUAGUGCUUAAUGCCUCUCUCGCUCUGUACACUUUACAAGGGCAGUGGUGUUUCCAUGCGUAGAUCCUCAUAGCCUGGCCCUGUGUCAGGUACACAGGAAGUAGGCAGUAUCAACAUUAGAUGAGAGAAGUCAGCACUGAACAACGGAAUGAGGAGAGAAAGCCCAGGGAUGAAGGAAUGAUUGUUAUCCCCGUUGGACAAUCGGCAGGCUUGGGAGCUCUGUGUGCUUUCCAGAGCAGCCUUUCCUGCAGCCACAGGUCCCCAAGCUGCUGCUGGGGCUAGACCGAGUCUCCGAGGACCUCAGCCCCGCUCUGCAGGGUGCAGUUGCCGCGGAGGCUGAGGCGCAGCUGGAGCUUGUGGGAGCUGGCAGGUGGAUGAGCCUGCAGCAUUUUUCUUGCCUAGACCCUGGCAGCUCUCAAAGUUUCCAAGCUGGAACACACUGACCAGAACACCAUGACCUUUGGCACAGUUUCCUCCUGUCCUCUGUUCUGCUUACAAAGCAGGGAGGGGGAGCCCAGCUUCUUUGCUCUGGCUCUGGCUUCCUGCAGGACAGGUUUGUCUUAGAUGCAGAGACGGGAGGAAGGGAAGAGUGAAGGGCACCCAGGUGGCUGUGCUUCGAGCAUCAGGGGAGCCAGAUGGCUGUCUACCCUACUUGGAACUUGGAUAUUUGGUGAAGUGUGCCAGCCUGUUAGAUUUUUCUCUCUUCAAGCUCUAGCUCUCACUGUAUCCUGCUGCAGGGAGUACCUGCCUAGACUCUGAGAAACUGAAGAGUAGGGCCACCUCCUACCUUGCACCCUUACCAUCCAACCUCCAUGGACUGUGAUUUAGUGGCAGCUAGUGAAGGCGUGGUCAGGCACAUCUGUAGCCAGCCCCUAAGUAGGCGUGGCUACAGCUUCCCCUACAAUUAGGGACUUGCUAAGCCUUAGUUGUUUCAUCUUCAAAUGCGGAUAACAGAAGGUUUCUAGAGCCAUUAAGAGGAUUAGAGUCAGCCUGUAAAAAAAUGCUUGGCAUAGAAAUCAAUAAAUGACAGUUGACAUCAUCA